rnacentral:rRNA from 1 species
UACGGAAGGCAGCAGUGGGGAAUAUUGGACAAUGGGCGCAAGCCUGAUCCAGCCAUGCCGCGUGUGUGAAGAAGGCCUUCGGGUUGUAAAGCACUUUUGUCCGGAAAGAAAAGCUUAGGGUUAAUAACCUUGAGUCAUGACGGUACCGGAAGAAUAAGCACCGGCUAACUUCGUGCCAGCAGCCGCGGUAAUACGAAGGGUGCAAGCGUUACUCGGAAUUACUGGGCGUAAAGCGUGCGUAGGUGGUUUGUUAAGUCUGAUGUGAAAGCCCUGGGCUCAACCUGGGAAUGGCAUUGGAAACUGGCUUACUAGAGUGCGGUAGAGGGGUGUGGAAUUCCCGGUGUAGCAGUGAAAUGCGUAGAUAUCGGGAGGAACAUCUGUGGCGAAGGCGACACCCUGGGACCAGCACUGACACUGAGGCACGAAAGCGUGGGGAGCAAACAGGAUUAGAUACC